rnacentral:rRNA from 1 species
AGUGAACGCUGGCGGUAGGCCUAACACAUGCAAGUCGAACGGCAGCACAGGAGAGCUUGCUCUCUGGGUGGCGAGUGGCGGACGGGUGAGGAAUACAUCGGAAUCUACUCUGUCGUGGGGGAUAACGUAGGGAAACUUACGCUAAUACCGCAUACGACCUACGGGUGAAAGCAGGGGACCUUCGGGCCUUGCGCGAUUGAAUGAGCCGAUGUCGGGUUAGCGAGUUGGCGGGGUAAAGGCCCACCAAGGCGACGAUCCGUAGCUGGUCUGAGAGGAUGAUCAGCCACACUGGAACUGAGACACGGUCCAGACUCCUACGGGAGGCAGCAGUGGGGAAUAUUGGACAAUGGGCGCAAGCCUGAUCCAGCCAUACCGCGUGGGUGAAGAAGGCCUUCGGGUUGUAAAGCCCUUUUGUUGGGAAAGAAAUCCAGCCGGCUAAUACCCGGUUGGGAUGACGGUACCCAAAGAAUAAGCACCGGCUAACUUCGUGCCAGCCGCCGCAGUAA